UAGGUGACCUGCGGAAGGAUCAU
rnacentral:rRNA from 1 species